rnacentral:rRNA from 1 species
UACAGAGGGGGCAAGCGUUGUUCGGAAUUACUGGGCGUAAAGGGCUCGUAGGCGGCCAACUAAGUCCGACGUGAAAUCCCAAGGCUUAACCUUGGAACUGCGUCGGAUACUGGAUGGCUUGAAUUCGGGAGAGGGAUGCAGAAUUCCAGGUGUAGCGGUGAAAUGCGUAGAUAUCUGGAGGAAUACCGGUGGCGAAGGCGGCAUCCUGGACCGACAUUGACGCUGAGGAGCGAAAGCGUGGGGAGCAAACAGG